CCUGUGGUCACUCUAGAAGUGGGCAAAUGCGACCCAACUCGACAACUCGAUCGAAAUCGACCCGCUAAUAAACGGGUUUGGGUCAUGCUUGUCAACUCGUUUAUAUAUACGGGUUAACUCGAAAUUGACACGUUAAUAAACGGGUCGGGUUAGAGUUGAGCAGUUCAACCUGUUUAACCCGUAUAACCCGUUUAUUAUUUUUAAUAAUUUGACAAAAUAAUUCAAUCCUUAAGCUUUUAAGGGGCCCAAAUUUAUACCCAACUUUGGGCUCCUCUCACAAGUCACUUUACUAAUUUACUCACUCACUUUACUGAUAUACCAUAUACCGCAUCUCUAACCUUCUAGGGUUUCACUUUCACACUUUCACCCACCUCUACUUUCUCUCCCUUCGUUUUCUUCGCUUAGGGUUUCGCUGCAUCUUCACUUCUUCAGUUCGUUGCGCCGCUUCGCUGCACCUCAGUUCGCUGCCCCUCAGACCUCAGUUCGCUGCGACACUUGGUAACUCCUCCCUGCGAGCCUGCGACGCUGCUGCAUCUUGGACUCUUGUGGUUGGGAUGAAUGUGGAUUAUGUGGAAGAUGAUGUAUUAGAACCUUGUUCUUCCAAUCAACAAUCUGAAGCCUCUUGACUCCAAUGAUUUGGAUUGUAUUUUGUUAAACCUUUUGUAGUAUUAUGUAUUUAUGUAUUGUAUCAGACUUAUUAAGUCAUUAUGUAUUGAAUUAUUGAAUCAGACUUAUUUAUGUAUUGAAUGAUUGAAUCAGACU